rfam:Faecalibaculum rodentium strain Alo17, complete genome.
AAAGCCGCGAGGCUGGGAUGGAAGAAGCGGUGUAGCCAAUCUGACGAGCCUACGAACAGAAACCUGAUACAAGGCCAAAUGGCGGGUGAGGUUGCAACACAAACCAAAGCCCAAAAGGCAAACGUAAAACCAAGACGGUAAAUCAGGAGGUUGUGCAGAGAAAGAUGUGUGC